rnacentral:rRNA from 1 species
CUUUUGUGGGGUGCUCGAGUGGCGAACGGGUGAGUAACACGUUAGUAACCUGCCCUUGACUUUGGGAUAACUUCAGGAAACUGGGGCUAAUACCGGAUAGGAGCCCCUGCUGCAUGGUGGGGGUUGGAAAGUUUCGGCGGUUGGGGAUGGACUCGCGGCUUAUCAGCUUGUUGGUGGGGUAGUGGCUUACCAAGGCUUUGACGGGUAGCCGGCCUGAGAGGGUGACCGGCCACAUUGGGACUGAGAUACGGCCCAG